CCUGCGGACGGCCGUGGCCAGAGGAGGAGAAGGACGAUGAGAGAUGCCCGGAGGAACAUCGCAUGCCCGCGGGCUGCGCGAGUUACCCGCGGAGGUCUUCUGCAAAUUACCAGCAUGGUUCAAGGAUGAAGCCGGCAUGGCAGCUGUAAUGGAGCACUGUCCCUUCCACUGGCUGCCCGGGGGGCUUCACCAUCACUCGACCAUUCUCCAGGGAAGUCCACACCCGUGGGCACAGCAGCACUGGGAACCACAAGGACCACAAAAGAGAAGGAGAAUUUAGAAAAGGCCUCUGUAGCGGAUCCCCCCAUCCCUUGGAGGCCGGAUUAUGGCACAGCCUGAAAACAAGAGAAGAGGAAGAAGUAUGAAAAAAGGAAGAUGACAAGAGCAGAGAGGGAAAGCUCUGUCUCCAGAUAAUGUAGAUAUAUAACAACAACAUGAUAUAUUGUCAAUUAAUUGACACCUUCCUUGCUGCACAGAUUACAGUGUUUCAUUCGGGUCACUUAGCAAUUUCUGCAGCGUUACAUCUGUCCAUUAAUGCAUAUUAUAAACACACACAGACAGCAUACACACAGACAGAUAUCCCACACGGAUUCAGUCACAAAUACACACAAAAUUACCUCCAGUUGAUGAAUUAUGUAUGGGCACAACAAGAGAUGGAAGAGCAUAGAGAAUAAUCAGAAGCAAUAGGCGUGCCAUCUCUGGAUCUAAAGAGAAGGGUGAGAGAGGGAGAGAAGGUUUUAAAAAGAAAGUGGGAAUGUGUGACAGGAGUUUGGGGUUUGGGAGAAAGACAGAAGAGGAAACAAGAGACAAAAAGAAAAAGGUUACUGAGAAAAUAUUCUUACAGUAUUAAUGCUACACUCUCAGUCCUCAGAUACAGUCACUUUCGGUCCACUGCUGUCUGUCCUUCUAAAAGAGAUGCAUCAACUUUUUGGCAAAAUAGCUCCCUUUUCAGCAUGCCUGACUGUGCAUAGAGAGGAUGAGAAUCAAGAUGAGUCCACUUUUCUCUCUCUGCUUCUAUUUGUAUUUACAGUGCAGACAGCCCGGGCUCCAUUGAUUGCCAGCUUGGCUUAAUUUCAAAGGCCAUGUAUACAAGGUUUCAGCCGAGUUUUUGAUGGUUUUUAUUAUUUUAAGUAGCUGCCCAUGGAAACAUUUCACACCAGGGCAGACUUAGCUUAGAAUAGUUUUCUUUAUGCCAUGUUAGAAAAGUAUUUGGAACAGCUUAUAAACUAUGGUUACAAAAAAAUGUGUUUUUAGGUAUCUUCAUAGCUUUUUCAGGCAAUGACCUACUCCACCUAAUCGGACGCAAGAAAACUCUUGAGACUUUCUCUGAAAGUGUACUCCACCAAUUUAGCAUUGCACUCCUAAAACCUUGUCAGACUCAUGGUGUAAAGUGUCAUAUAUUUUAUAAAUCAAAAUCCAUGCAGCUGAACCAGAUACAUCAUCUUUUUAAUUCCAAGCAUUUGUCUUCAUUGUCAAAACAUGGUGCCUACAUUACCCACAAUGCAACUCAGCCACCGACAGUUUGUCUGGAGAUUUGGGUGUGUUAUGCUAGUAGUGGCUAAUGUAGUCUCGAAUCUCUAGCCGCAAGCAGAGAUGAGGAGUGGGCUACAGAGGUCUGGUAAGCUAACACAUGUUCUAACUCCACACAUUUUUUUAUUGUCUAACUUGUAGUCUUCAGCCCCAACCGACACCGCCUCAAGUGACAUCAGUUAAGGCAAUUUAUCAGACUUCACACAGCUCCCUUUGGAGCCACAAAAGGCAUAACAUAACUUUAUUAGCCACAUAUGCAACAGUGUUCCACCUGUAAACACACUUUGGGCAACAUCACCCUUUAAAUGAAGAGUGGAUCUACAAUUAUAUCAAUAAAUAAUAUCUGCCAUAUCAACAAAUAGCAAAUAGAGCAAACUAUUACAUUAACUCAAUAGUACAAGGACUCCAUCUGCUUUACAAGGAAGGUGAAACGACAGGCCACUUAGCCAUCUCACUGACUAAUGUGCACAUUUCAUGAGCACAGAAUGAGUGUGCUAUGCUAACAAGCAAAACAUCAAAACACCAUUUAGUCCUUUAGGCCACAGAACAUCCAGUGCUGGUAGUAUCAAUGAUAAACACACUACUGUAUUUAGCUGCUCAUUUGCAGUUUUGAAUAAUAAAUGUUGCUUUAUGAGGUUGUCACACAUGCACAAACAUAAACAUAUCCAUACACUCUCACACUUGUGUGGUGAAGUUUGGGGCCCACAUUGAGGCAGUGAGGGAGACAGAUGGCAGCGAGGCUUGCUUGUGGAAGACAGACAAACUCGGCUGGAUACUUCAUUAGCAUUAUCCAGUGUAUUUUUAGAGUUCACUGACAAGAAGCAUGCAGGAGGUAGACACCACCAGAGAGUGUGUAUUACGUCUGUGUGUGUGUGUGUGUGUGUGUGUGUGUGUGUGUGUGUGUGUUGGCAGCGUACAGUGUGUGCUUUUGUCCUGUGUGGGAAGGAGGGAGGGGAGGCAGUAGAGAGAAAUGGGGGAGAAAAAGGACAGCCCAGCAGGAGUCAUUAAUAUCAGCGAACACACACUGAGCCGGAUAAAAGCAAACUAUACGUGAGUGAGUGUAGCACAGGCGAGGCAGCCUGACCAGCACGAAGCCAGCUAACUCCAUCAGCACUGUGGCUGCAGCAGCACCAAGCAGACAGGGGGGAAGGGGGCCGUCAACUAGCCUCAAGCUUUAAAUGCAAUUAAGGCUUCAGCACCACGGACAGCGUCUUCACCGCUCCCAAACAUUGCAGCCUUGUAAAAACGCCAUAUUACAAAAACACCUACAGCCCAUCCACGUUCACUUCCUCCUCUAAUGUCACUGCUGCCUACUUCCCUGUGUGUUCAUAAUGCCGGAAGCUGCGAUGGAAAGGGAUGUACCUGUCCAUUGCAGCACCGAACUCACAUUUACUGAAAUGCAUGUAGUGGCUAUUUCCACACGGGGUACUUGCACAUAGACCCAGAUGCUGUACAUUUGUGCAUGGCUGAGCAUGAACUGUUGAGACGUGAGGGUCACAGUAAGGGUGCCACCAACCGUAUGCAGCCGGUAGUUACUUGUCGGCUGUUGACAAGAGAAUCCGUCAUGGCCUGUAGAGGAAGGCCGACCAUAUUAACAAGCCCGUAUGGUCCCCAUAUGAUGGAUCUCAAAACUAGCGUCUAGAAAAACAUGUCAUUUGCUUAAACCGGCGGCGUGUUGUUCAAAAAGGUGUAAAAUCUCAUCCCGCUAUCCUCUCUUCGUAACGCACAAAAAGGUAAAUGCAGACUGGAUGGUGAUGGUUUAAGGAACUCAAAACAAAUCUGGCCUGUGCCCAUCGAGAAUGUAUGGCCUUUGCAUACUCAAUGAAGAACGGAUUUGGCAUAGUCUACAUUAUUUCAUGGGAAAUGGGGCAUUUUCUGAAUAGAUGUAGUCUAAUAUUGCAACCUACAGUAACAGUAGCAUAUAGCCCCCUGAAGCAAAGCCGUAGCAUGUGUACUUACUAUUAGUAUCGAAGCGCUCGGUCAAGAUAACAGUGCGUCCUCCGGAUGGGACCCGCCAGGGAAAGCCCGGUGUCGGAUUAUUUGGUAAAAAUAUGCAUCUUUGCAACGAUUUUUAUGGCUGUAUUAAUAUGGCUAUAAAUGUGCAAGCUGCUCCGUUCGUAAAACAGAAUGUUACAAAAACAAAACGUAUCUUAUUCGGGGUUUUUCCAGGUAUUGCAGUUAGGCAUGGCAAAGGUAAGAAAUGACAGGUCCAUACAAAAAAAUAUACAUGCACUAUAUACAAACGCAUCCCCAUAAGCGACGAAACACCGAUACACCACACACUCCCCUCCUUUUUUUCUCUCCCCCUCUACGAUCUUGAGCUAAUUCACGACGUCAUGAUGGAGACGCACCGUGCGUAACAGCCCCCCCCCCCCACACACACACACACACACCCCAGAUGAAACACGUUAACGUGCAGGCCCACAACAGAAAAUAUCAUAAUGAAUCUUACGAGGAGGCAUAGGGUUUAUGAUAAGCUUGAGGAUUUAUCCCACGGUGAAUAAUUAUAUCGCGACAGGAGGACUAGACACGGAUGGAGGUGCAGAUAUGGUGCUGUGGUAUUAAUAGUGACUACUUUGUUAAGCCUUUUUCUAAAGCUCUUUGGAGUUAAGUCAACCAAGCAGUUGUCAGUCAUUUCUACAACACUGGCCAUCUAUUAAAUCAAAGUCCAUGGACUCCUCCAUGUCCCCCUUUUGUGCCUUUCCCACCAUUCUCUGCUCCUCUUCUGCCAUCUAUUCUGAGAUCAGCAUCCUGCUUCAUAUUUAUACAUCUGCUGAAUAAUUGAAGGAAGGCUGGGGAAGACAUAACCUCUCCCUCUGUCUCCUACCAUCCCUAUUCCUGAGUCAGUAAAACAGAAACUCACAUCCUACCCUGCCUGUUGACAUACAAUUCUACAAUAAGCCCUACAAAAUAUCACAUAAAUAUCAAAAUAUAGGAAGUAUAAGCCCAAGAAGUAUGAUGAGGUUUAUUGAUUGUUAGGUAUGAAGAUGCAUUAAUUGGAAACAAUGGCAUUCUGGCUAAUUCACAAAUGCAAUUAAAAUGGUGAAGACUAAUUGUUAAGAAAAAAGUAAUGGUGAGGUGUUUCAGAUAAACUGCAACAACAAUGAUUUAAAUACAUACGACAACCUGUGGGUAUCCAGAACAUCUGUACAACAAUCUUGUCAAAUAUUCAAAUCAGUGACACGUGUAACUGUACAUGUCAAUAUUUUCCAGCUUUGUAAUAAUUACAUACAUUUACAAGUCAUUUCUUGACUUCAUUGUUUUGCAUCAUACACUUUGACAAUCAAAGUACAAUAUCAUAAAAGAAAAUACAGAAAUCAACACAAAAAAGAAAUCAUAACUCUUCAAGUCUUGUC